rnacentral:lncRNA from 1 species
AUGGAGGAUCUGAAGCUUACAGAAGCAGCGUUUUGAGAAGGAUUGAGAACUCUCCUGUUAGAGAUACACACAAAUGAGAAGAGAAUCAGGAGGCCUCGAACAUUCAGGUGGCUCAGUCCCCUCCCUUCCUGAGGAUCCACUGUCAAGAAUUUUUUGCUCCUGCAUCUACCCUACCCAUUUAUUCAACGAUAUGUAUUAAGCACUUACUAUAUGAUAGACAUUGUUCUUGGAGCUGGGAAGACAUCAGUGAACAAAAUAACCCUGAAUCCCUGACCUCGUGGAGCCGACAUUCUCGCAGAUCAGCAGCUGUGAAAGUGGAUGACUAUCCAUCCUUACCAUUGGUGACCUGAGAAACCAGCACUAUCCAGAUGUUAUAGUGAGCAACUUCCCUAGGCUUGGCAAUGCCAAACUUUCUCUAACACGCAAUCAGAAAUAGAGAACCAAGAGGAAACUACCACUCCCUAAGCUGCAAAUAACUGCAAACAAAUUUGGCCUGUAUACUGUUGUCACAUGUGAUUCCCUACCACCCACCUCCCUUUUUGGAUUCUUGUUAUAUGAGCUGGUUAAUAUUAAAUUUGAGAAAAGAGGGCCAGUAUUAAGGCUAAUAUAGUUUACUGCAGCUCUUCCUUAGACUUAUGAGUCAGCAAGAAAUAAAAAUCCAGGGGAGGGGAGAGGUACCUGUACACAUAGAUGCACACAUUCUCUCGGUUUAGUUAAGCCCUCUGGAUAAGGAGAUGUCAUAGCAUAUAUGAGUUUGAGAUAGUUCAGCUCUAAUCAGAGCAAUGAGAAGAUUAUCAGGGUGAUACUUUCAUAAGCUUACAACACUUUUAGUCUCCAAAAACUGUAACAGAGCUGAAUCACCCAAAAACCUCAAAAAUUAACUCUCUACAGCUAAUCCUUUCCCACUCCAAGUCCCAGGGUCAUGUGUUGGGAUCCUUCUGCUGUUCUAGAAAGCAUCAAUUCUCUUCUGCUGGAGGCACUUUAGGAGGCUAUAACGGAUCUGCUUAGACUUGAUGGAAUACACAAUGGGGUUCAUGAAGGGUGGGACCAAGAAGUGUAGGUUGGCCAUGAGCACUGCCAG